CCUACGGGGGGCAGCAGUCGAGAAUCAUUCACAAUGGGGGAAACCCUGAUGGUGCGACGCCGCGUGGGGGAAUGAAGGUCUUCGGAUUGUAAACCCCUGUCAUGUGGGAGCAAAUUAAAAAGAUAGUACCACAAGAGGAAGAGACGACUAACUCUGUGCCAGCAGCCGCGGUAAUACAGAGGUCUCAAGCGUUGUUCGGAAUCACUGGGCGUAAAGCGUGCGUGGGCUGUUUCUUAAGUCGUGUGGAAAAGGCGCGGGCCAAACCCGCGGACGGCACAUGAUACUGCGAGACUAGAGUAAUGGAGGGGGAACCGGAAUUCUUGGUGUAGCAGUGAAAUGCGUAGAUAUCGAGAGGAACACUCGUGGCGAAGGCGGGUUCCUGGACAUUAACUGACGCUGAGGCACGAAGGCCAGGGGAGCGAAAGGGAUUAGAUACCCUAGUAGUC
rnacentral:rRNA from 1 species